CUAUUCUGAAUGUAGUCACUUUUUGAGGAGCAGUAAACAGAAGCAAUCAUUACCAGAAAAAUGGAAGAUAUGGAAGUUUUGCACUUUCUUAUCAGUGGGAAACUCUUUGCUGCUUGACUUUUCCCUGGAAUACGUUGGUAGAAAUAUAAAUUCGUGUUUCAGAAUUAAAUGCAUGCCUCAACAGCUCAGUUUACACACUCAUAAUUAUAUUUACAAUUAAAAACAAUGUAAUUGGGAAUAGAACUUUUUCUUUUGGCUGAGUGCACAAAAUUUGAGUUGUGGAGAAAAUGUCGUUUUAAUCUAUGCUUUCUUCCCCACAAUUUAGGAGCAUUUAAGCUUCAUCUCCGACACACACUAGGAAGUUAGGGGCUAAUUAAGUCCACAUGGGGCUGAAAGACUGCUGGGUCCCUCCCGAAAUUCCUUUCUGCACAGCAAAGCCCCAAACGCUGGCACACAACAGGACACAAACCCACCCGUGCCGUGGUUCCCGCUGGGGAAGCACACGGAUGCUGGGAUGCAGGCAGGAGGGCAGGACCCUUCCACACGUCUCAGGUACCUUUCACCAGGACUGUCACUGGCAGCACAAGAGCCAGGUACAGGAGACACAAAGGACCUCUGGAACUUAA
rnacentral:lncRNA from 1 species